rnacentral:lncRNA from 1 species
CUACCUCUGUCUUUACUCGUUCUCUUUUAUGUACUUUUGCCCUGGGGCUUCAGAAUGAAGUGACUUCUUUAUGCAGCCAAGUCUGUGGUUCCAGUUGAAAGAGAGAGUAAGUCAGGAGAGGAGCAGAGGAAGAAAACUUCCAGCUGACUCUCUGCUAAGUGUGGAGCCCCAUGUGGGCCUUGACCUUACAAUCCAUGGGAUCACUGACCUGAACUGAAAUCAAGAGUCCAACACUUAACCAACUGAGCCACUCAGGCAUCCACAAUGGAUUCUUAAAAACUGACAUCAGGUAGUCUCAAACUAUACGAAGAAACAAGUUGUUUGGAGAAUGUGCUUAUUUAUCAUGCAAAGGACAUUAUUCACAGUCAUUAGAAUUUUAAAGUUAUCUUCUGAAUAUAAAAAUAUGUUACACACAUUUAUAAAGAUCUCAGGGAAAAUUUAGGUUGAUAUGAAUAUUGUAUGAAAUUAUUAUAUGGGAUUGAACAAUUCAGUACAUGCUCUUAGAGACAUUUUAAUGUUGAAGUUGCUUUUAAGAAUUAUUAACUAGUGAAUAAUUAAAAUGUUGUCAGAAUGGAUUCAAGGCCAAUUAGUUUGGUUGCAGAUAAAAGGGCCUAAGAAAUCCAUGACUGCCAACAAGGGCAAUUAAUAGGAUUUAUUUGCAUGGUGUAAAAAAAAAAAAAUUCAGCAUGGGUACCAAAAUGUACAUCUUCUAGAAUAUAGCAAUUUAGCUUUCAUGCCCAAAUUGGAAAUAUAAUACUAACAUAAAUGAAUCCAAUAAUGAGGUGCAGUUAAGUAAUGGCAUAGUAAUAAUAUCUGACAUUUGUAUAUGCUUUAUUUCUUUUCAAUUAAUUUUAUAGCUCUUUUAUCCAGAUUACUGGACCUAAAACCUGUUUGUAACAGUUUAUACAGGUUCUAGUGUCCUUCACUUUGAAUGGAUUGAUUUAUGAAUUUCAAACAACCAAACUGACAUUUUUACGCCAAAUAAACUGGUUAUUUGGCUAAACCCACGGACUCGACCUAUCGCCGUGGUGACAAGCAGAUACUCUCUG